rnacentral:tRNA from 1 species
ACUUAAUUAAUAUAAUUAGUAUAUUAAGCUUCCAACUUAAAUGUUCAUUUGAAUUAAGUA